GUGCUUUUGAUAUAGAUUCAGUGCAAUCUGUUUAAAGAAAUACAAUUUUUAAGUGCAUAGAACUUCAUAUUUCACUUGCUUCGUACGGACCGCUAGACCUAGACUAUUAAAACAGUCCAUUUUGCACUCUUUUUAUGCUUUUAUCCACUUUUCUUUGUGUUCAGAGUUCACAAAUGAGUAAAACACAUGAAAUAAAUACCACAAACACAAAUAGAUAUCAGAAAAAAAAUGUCAGAGAAAAAUUAAGGAUGCUGCUUUUGCAAAAAUAUUGAAAAAAGUGAAAAAGCUACUUUUUG
rnacentral:lncRNA from 1 species